AACGAACGCUAUCGGUAUGCUUAACACAUGCAAGUCGGACGGACUAAUUAGGGCUUGCUCCAAUUAGUUAGUGGCAGACGGGUGAGUAACACGUGGGAAUCUGCCCAUCAGUACGGAAUAACUUUUAGAAAUAAAAGCUAAUACCGUAUAUUCUCUACAGAGGAAAGAUUUAUCGCUGAUGGAUGAGCCCGCGUCAGAUUAGGUAGUUGGUGAGGUAACGGCUCACCAAGCCGACGAUCUGUAGCUGGUCUGAGAGGAUGAUCAGCCACACUGGGACUGAGACACGGCCCAGACUCCUACGGGAGGAAGCAGUGGGGAAUAUUGGACAAUGGGCGAAAGCCUGAUCCAGCAAUACCGAGUGAGUGAUAAAGGCCCUAGGGUUGUAAAGCUCUUUUAGCAAGGAAGAUAAUGACGUUACUUGCAGAAAAAGCCCCGGCUAACUCCGUG
rnacentral:rRNA from 1 species